rnacentral:misc_RNA from 1 species
AAUAUAUUUAAUAGAACAGCCUAGGAGCUACUUUCUCUUCUUUUUUUUCCCUGCUUUGAUUCGUCUCCUCUGUCUUCUGUGUGAAACCCCUUUAUCUAUCUUUAGGAGCUACUUGACGUCGACUGCGGAUGCUUUAUCCAGCUCAGGUGUGACGCGUUUGCUGCCAAUCCACUUGGAGCUGUCGAAAUUCUUCGUAGAUUAGAAGCCACGAUUGUAGCUGUUUAUCAGGGUGCUUAAAUGGAGAAAUCUGCUGUUGUUAAGGAAAAUUACCUCAACGGAAAUCAAUUUCACUCGUUUUCUUCUUCAUCUGUUUCUCUUAGACACGUUAGUUACAGGUCCUAUUCCUUUCUCUUUCUCUAAGUGAAGAUAAUGAUCCAAUUUAUGUUAAUUAGUUGUUUUUCUUGUUGGUUUUUGUGGGAACUUAUUUGAUUGGUAUGUAAGAAAUUGAUUUCUUAUGUGGAUUUUUUUGUAUUUGGUUGAUUUCAAAUUGGUUGAUUCGAUUUUGAUAUCUGUUGCAUAUAGGAAUAAAUCACUUUGGUGAUCUUGUUGGGGCUUGUUUGAAAUACUUGAAUUGAUUGUUCUUACUUUCUCCUAGAUAGAUUCUUGAUAAAGGGUGUUUUUGUAACUUUCUUUUAAAUCUUAUUAGAUUAAUAUGCGUUGUCAAUUUUCUAAACUCGAAAAUAACAAGUCUUUCCAGCUCUAUAUAGAGUAAUGAAUUUUCUGGGUUAGAGAUAGAGAGCUUGAAAUUCGUAAAGUUUGUAACUUCAAUGAUUUGAUAUGUUCUUGUGGCACACGAUAUAUUUUGCGGACUCGCAGGAGGACCCAAAAAUGAAAAACUGACCCUGUUUGGUACGUGUGGCAUUGAAUCUGUUGAUUCAACCAGUCCUGUCAUUCAUGUUAUACAUCUUGAAAGUAAAAUAUAGAUUCAUCAUCCUUCAUAUUUUUUGAUGGUCUGUGAAUGAGGAUCGAGAAUUAUUUUGUUAGUGCAGUGGUUACGUAGUAUGGAAAGAAUUGUCUCAUUAAUUUUAGCUUUUCUGCCUCAUUUAGUGUCUAUUGAAGUGGCUGAUAUUAGUGGAGUGGAUGACAAAACAAUAAUGAUUAGCUGCAAUUCAAAUUUGGCCACCAUUAAAAUUUGAUGGUGCUUUUGAAUGUCCCAUUGAAUGUGAACCGUUGUGAUUCAUAGACAACUUAUCACUGUUGUAGAAAUGGUUGCCACAUAGUUCUCAUAUCAACUUCUGAAUUCUGAUGUCCAUUCACACCUUGUUUUGAAUGACAAUUAGAGUGACGAAGAAAUACCAAGAGAUACUAAUAAACUUACCCAUGUUAAAUAACAUUUACAAAUUGGUAUAACUAUACAAUUCUUGUGGUUUUCAACCUCUAUUGGGUUCUUGUGGUUUUGGUUGUUUCACCAAAGGGUCAUUUUUCUGGAAACUGAAAAAUGAAGAUCUUUGAUGUAGCUGUGGCACUUGUGGAUAUGAGUUGAACUUAAGCUCCUCCAAUCGAAACACCUCAACUAUUGGCUCUAAGUAUGGGAAAUCCAUAAAGCGAGGGAUCAUCUCAUUCUUUGACAUUGAUGAGAGCAGAUUUACUCAGGCUGAAGAAUUCCAAUGUAUCCCCUACUUUUCAAAGAACUCAUGGGGAUUGUUCCGUAGGAGAACCAAACUUCUUUGCCGUAAAUGUGGCAAUAAUAUUGGAGUUGCCUAUGAUGAUGAAACUUCAGCUUAUCCACUAGUAUCAGAUGGUUCAGAUUCAUCCUCUGUCAAUGAAUCCAAACUUCGAAAAUAUGAUGUUAAAAUCCGUGCAUUGCAGCCUUCAUCUGUUGAUCGGUAUGGUAUUCCACUUUAUGUAUAAUGUGUUGCAGCCAAUCUUUGCAUAAUUCAUGUUAAUUGAAUUUGAAGGUUAUCAUAACUAUAGCAUAAGUUUUCUUGUAAUAUAUUCAUGUAUACAUGUUUGGAGUCCUCUUUCAUUUUUGUUUCUGCGUUUACCCUCAUUUUUUAGAUGUUGAGUUGGUAACUUGUACAAAGCAGUAUUGGGAACUGAAAUAGAUGAAAGCAAUUGUGGAGUCUAAAGGGAGUUAAGGGUAUUGAGCAAAUUUCAUGGACAGUUUUCAGAUUUUGUUUUAUGAUGAUGGUGUGAUAUCUGAAAUUGUACUAUAUAUGAAUGAGUAGAUUUUGGAGAAG